rnacentral:lncRNA from 10 species
GUAGGCAGAUUUUCCCUUGGUAUAACAGAGACUGCUAACCAUUUACCAAAAUCUUUUUUGAUUUUGAGCAUAUAGCUAGAGUACAUUUCUUAACUUCCCUUGCGAUUAGGUGUGUCCAAAUGACUGAGUUCAAACCAAUGGCAGGUGAACAGAAAGAAGUGCUGUGUACACUUCCAAGAUCACCUCAGGUACAGCUGCCUUUUGCUCCUCCUUGGUCUUUUCCCUUCCACUCGCUGGAUGAAGAAAAUGACAAAGCAAAGCCACACAUGGAAGAAGUCUGGACCCUGGCUGACUACGAAGAGGACAAACAACGUUUCAACUGGAACACUGAACCUGGACUGUUAGGACCUGUGUGAUUUUACUCCUGGUAGAGUGGACCCCGUCAUAUCUUCUAGGAAGAUGUUGCUCUACAGAAACUUCGUUAUCUUUGAGCAACAUCUCCCCAGCAUACCCCCAACAUCACUGCCACAGCUCCUGAUAACCACCAUUCUACUCUCUACUUCUAUGAGAUCAACAUUUAAAGAUUUCACAUACAAGUAAGACCAUGAGGAAUAUGUCUUUCUGAGUCUGUCUUAUUUCAUGUAACAUAAUGUCCUCCAGGUUUAUCCAAGUAGUUGCAAAUUUUUUUCUUUGUUAUGGCUGAAUGAUAUUUCAUUAUGUAUAUAUCCCAUAUUUUAUUGAUCCAUUCAUCAGUUGAUGGACACAGGUUGAUUCCAUAUCUUGGCUAUUGUGAAUAAUGUUGCAAUCAUCAUAGGAGUGUAGAUAUCUCUUUGACAUUUGGUUUCAGUUUCUUUGGAUAUAUAUCCAGUAGUGGGAUUGCUGGAUCAUAUGGUAGUUCUAUUUUUAAUUUUUUGAAGAACCACCAAACUGUUCUCCAUAAUGGCUGUACUAAUUUAUAUUUCCAUCAACAGUGGGCAAGUGUCUCCUUUUCUCCACAUUCUCUCCAACACUUAUAUAUUGUCUUUUUGAUAACAGCCAUUCAAACAGAACACCAAUCUUUAAAAAAUGGUAGAAUAAAUUAAUGCAGGUACCCAGGUUCAUGUGGUAGGAGAAAAAAAUUGGAGAGAGGCUCAAAGGAAAUUGAGCAGGUUCACAUGUUGUCGUAAGACUUAUCUUGCCGGGAUACCACAUAGUGAUUUAUUAGUAGCACUCAUGGUCAAAAUUAUUUUUUCAAAAUGACAAAAUAUAAAUUUCUCAGCUUAGCCUCAAGGACUUUUGUAUUGUGACUACAAUGUAUUCAUCCUGAACUUUCUACUGUUACAAACCCUCACAUUUUCUUAGACUAGUUCUUUUGCAGACCUAUUAAUUCCAUCUUUGUAUUUUUCUCCUCUCCUGCAAGGUCCUCUUCUUUCUCUUUCUUUCUGCCUGUCUCCUCUGCUCCUUUUGUCUCUUCCUUCCUCUUGAUUUUUCAACUCCUUAUUUAACUGAAGUGUUCUCCAUGAACUCUUCGAUUCCCCAACCACUCCAGGAAUGUUUCUUUCACUGAUGUAUGGUUCUCGUUUCUUAUAUUUAUUUGAUAUUCAUGUAAACUACAAUAUAUAGUUAAUUAAGGCUUCAUGAAAUUGUAAGAAAUUCAUGUCCCUGACCUUUUUUUUUCUUUAUUUCAAUUCUAAAAGCCAUUAGUAUUUAUUAAAUAUGUAAACUACUUUUUGAUAGCAUUUUGAAUUUAAAAUAAAAACAUAUGCAGGAUAAAAAAAUGUUAAACCAUAUACGUACACAAUAGAUUUCAAACAAUGCUGCCAAAGUGUCUCUGAAGAGUUAUUAAUUUAUACCCUUUGUGGACUGUAUUAUAUCCUCCCCCACCCCCAACAUUCAUAUAUUGAAGUCCUUACUGCUAACGUGAUUACAUUUGGAGAUAAGGCCUUUAGGGAGGUGAUUAAGGUUAGAUGAGGUCAUAAAGAUAGGGCUCUAAUCCAACAGGACUGAGUCCUUAUAAGAAGAGGAGGAGACACCAGAUCUCCUUUUCUUUCCAUGAGCACAAAGAAGCAAAGAGUCUCUCCUUGACCAAACUUUAGCCAGGCUUCUCUGAGCUCUCUUCUUAACUAGAAGACUUGACUUUGGCUCCUUUGGAUUCUUGGAGCAAGAAUCUAAAAUCAGUUUAGAGAGAAUCCCCCACCCUUGACAUUUGAUCACGCUGGGUAUCUGAUUGAGUUUCUUAUCCUCCAGCUUUGAUGUGUGUCUUUGGUCUGCCUUCAGCAAGAAUCUGAUUAGGUAGGUUUGGCAAGAAUCAACCUACACUUGAUGCCUCUUGGUAAUUUUUCACCCAUAACCCCCUCACUCUGCUCAUUGGCUAAUGUUGGGGCUCAGAAAACAAUAACCCAAAAUGAAGGCCUAGGAAGCAGUUUCUUUCUGAUCUUCUCCUGUCCUUUUGUCUAUCUCUAGGCCUCAUUCUUCUCCAACACAAGUCAUAGAAACUAGAAUCCCUGUUCCUUAAGGUGGGUCAUAGAAACCAGAGCCCUCUUUUCCCAAAGUCAGCCAUAAAACCUAAAAAUAUCAUUAUGACUCCCCACACUGUAUCCCCCAUCCCGCCUUUCUGUGUAAGAAUUUGCCAUAAAGAAAUGCUUUGAUCUACCUUGUUUAAUGGAAGGAAGGAAUGUUGCACAGAGGCCAUGAAGAAUCUGAACAGACAGGUCUUGCUGGGUCCCCCCGCCUAGUCUAUAAUUAUGAGAUAAUAUCCUUUUUGUCCAACCAUAUUUCUACAUGGCUGCCUAUGCUUCACUGAACCUAAGCCCCCCAGCCUGUGGUGUUCUUUAUGGCAGGCUGGGCAGACUAAUACAUACUCAUCCCACUGUCUAUUUUCAGACACUAUCACUAACAAUGCAUAUUGUGUAUUUGUUUAAUGUCUGCCCCACUCCACCCCAACUAAUGUGUAUACUCUAGAAAGACUGACUGUUUUCUUAUUACACUACACCCCUUGUUUGGUAGCAAAUACUUGUUCAGUAACUAUUCAACCAAUGAAUGAACAGCUGAGAGACGUAUUGCAAAAAAUGGAAAGGUGUGCUCAGUACUGGUUAACUUUGUGUAGAUGAGCUCCUCUGUUAUAAGCAAUGAAAUCUUGCUAUACCCUGCUUAAUGCUUCCCUGAUUUGUAAGUGGGUUAGUAAAGGUCUAAUGAAUGAGUUAAUGAAUGACGUAGUUUAUUUUCCUAACCAUUCUGACUAGGAAUUAAUCAAAUUUGGUCUUUGAAGUAAAAAGAACUCAAACUUUAGAUAUAGAAGCUGAACUUGAACACUUACUGGCUGUGUAAUAUUGGUUAAGCCUUCUAACUUUUUGGAUCAUCACUGUUAGCAAUAAAAUUGAUGUAGGAUUUUUCUUCUUGAUCACUUUGCAAGCUGGGGACCCCGGGCCAGUGAUGCCCCACCUGGGCCUCACUAGGCCAUGCUUGUGUGUGCCAAGGCCACAAGCUGGUUAUAGCUGUGUUAUAGCUGGUACCUCUGUUUGGUGGUUCCCGAGCUCUUGUACCAUGCCCAAGAAGAAUGAGGAUACACAGCAGGACAUUGAAGCGUGGAGAGGGAGAAGAAUUUUAUUGAGCAAUGAAAAUAGCUUUCAGUGGACAGGGGAUGUGGGAUAGGGGAGAAAUGGUGCCCUCACCCGAAGGUGGGAAAGUUCUGCCUGUGUGGCUGGGUCUGGGCCUUUUAUGAACUCAGAAUGGGGAGUGUGUGCUGAUUGGUUUGUGAGUAUGCAGAAAAGCUUAAAGUGAAGAUACCACUCAAAGGAGGGCAUGAUAGCAUAGAAAAAUCAAUUAGGAAAGAGUAGGUAUAUGUAAAAUAGGUGAAGGGUAGGCACAAAUCAGAGGAAAGCGCACUAAACAGGAACACAAGUUCUCAAUCCAGUCAGAGGAUUUAACAUGUAGCUUGGCUUUCAGGCUUUUUACUGUCUUCGGCUUGGAGGUGGCGUUUCACCGGGGACCUGCCUGUAUCUGCCUAGGCAUUUGGCUGCCUCCUGCCACUCUCAAAAUGAAGACUAUUAAUGAGACUUCCCCUAUAGAGUCAUUGUAAGGAUUACAUAAAGUUAUAUGUUUGGAAAAAUGCUUUGACAAUUGUGGAAAAUUGCAAAGUGUCAAUAUCAGUCUUUAAAUGAUAUUUUCUUUUACCACUUAGCACUACUGUAUUAUCUCAUGAAGAAACUAGGUAUUAACUUGAGCAGAAACCCUAUGGUUAUUUUAAUCUGUGGUUUCUUGGCUUCAACUCUUCUCUUGAGUUUUGCUUAACAUCUAAAAGCCUUUUGUAAGGUUCUUAAGACAUGAGGUUGUCUUUGAGAAGGAUUGUGGCAGAGAAAGAACGCAUUUCACUCACUAAUAGCCUUGAGUUCACCUGCUGGGAGCCAUCUGUCAACCUGCAGCCACAUACAGAGAUUUCACUGAAGAGGCAUUCGGCUGAACACAGGGGACAGAGCACCAGGCUAUUUUUGAGGUCAACGUGAGCAUUCAGAUUCCAGCUGUGGUCUAUAGAAACUGGAAUUCAGCUGACUGAUGAUGUUUUUUGCCUGAGCUCCACACCCUCUGACAUUCCUGAUCGUGGAUAAUUUGGAAAGGCAUGCAUUUAGGAAAGGGGACCACACCAGAGAGAGGGAAAUACAGGCUGUGCUACAGUCAUCUGAGCAGAAAAAUGAAAUUCUGACAAAUCUACUUUUAGCAUGAAAAGCUAAAAGCUCUAGAAGCAGAGGAAGUUCAUCGACUCACUGGAGUCUUGCGGAAGAGUUUACAAUUAAGGGUGAUCUCCAGCUGAUUUGAGUUCUUUAUCUUCUGCUGCAUGUUGUUCAAGAGGCAAUGCAUGAUCACUUAAUUAGCACAGUGGGGACUAAGCUGGCACCCUCCCCUCCCCCUUCUGUGAUACUAAUGUGAAAUAUCUUUUCUUCCUCCCCAAAUUAUUUUCUUAACAGUGGCAGCCAACAUUUUAUUACUAAAGCGAUUGCUUGUAAUAACGCAUUUUAAAAAGUGAGUUUCUCUUAAUUGAGUGAGAAUAUUACUUACUGGCUCAGAAAAUAUAUCAACAUAAAAGCAAGCCUUGAAAUAUAUCUCGAUCUAUAAUGUUAUCACUCCCAAGUGUUCUGGAAAUUCUAUAACCAUAUUCCUGAGUGCAUAAUAUGAUAAUUCUCAAAUCAAUAAUCUUGGAAAUAUACAUGAUGAUAUAUCAUUAAGAUUCUACCAAAGAAAGAUGGGGGACUUGGCAUAGAGAUUGCUGGAAACAAAAACAAAGAAGAGGCUGCCUCCCUAUAAAUAGGAGGCAAAGGAAGAAUAGAUGAAUCAUCUAUUGGGGGUUUCUUUUAAGAUGUUUUCCUCGUUCUUCUGUUAUUCAGUCAGUGGCCAUGCAAUUCCCCAUCCUUUGUGCUCUUUUCAGAAAGAUGUUCUAUUAUUAUGUUGUAUUUAAUUGGCUUAGAUUUAAGUAAACAGGCACCACUGAGAUGAGGGGCAGUCGGAAUGGAGGAAGGAGGAGUGCAGAAAUCAACACAGGAGGAGGGGCACAAAGAGACAGAAACUGCAGAGUGGGGAGGACACCAGAGAACCCGGGCAUUGCACGGUAUUGAAAAGCUUUCAUCUAAAGCUCCUAGUAGCCACUUAAUGUCUAUAAUUAAGCCACAUGAGUCUGAUUUAUACAAAAACAUAAAAAUAAGAUUAAAGCCUGGGCUUAAAAACACAGCAAGUGAGCCAAUGAGGUUGCAAAUAUUCCAGCUGCUCUAAUUAUUGUUGUUCCAAAGGAAUGUGAGGGCUGUUGACUCCUUGCUUGGGUUACCCUGGGCUCGUCUGGGACUACAUCAGCUACCUUUGGUAUUUGCAGGCACAAAAGUUUGCUUCAGAGGUAGGUUUCAACCUCACACUGUUAGAAUGUUUUUUAGAGCUAUGUUAAGCCAAUGAAUAGUUGACAGACUUCAAAAUGUUUUAUCUUUUAAAAUUGUGGCUCUGAAUAACUAUACUACAAUAAAAAAGUCCCACUCUGAGUCUUUCAGUGGUCUAAUUCCAAGACACCAAGUGUAGAGCUCUUCUCCGCUAGCCCCACUGAGCUCCUUGAUCCAUCCAUCUGGGGCCUUCCCAAAACUGCAAAGCCAGCAACCUGCACUGUGUGCUCCCCACGGCAACUAGUGACUUGCAUGAUUUCACCUUUAGCAGGGGCUUUGGCUCUAAGGAAGAUUUUGGAGGCACUUUCUUAACGAAGGACUACAGAUCCUAUAGUUUAGUGAGUUUUGUUUUCUUUUGUUUAUGAUUUUAUUUUUGCCAUUUCACAUUCAUUCUAUUUCCUAAUGUUAAUUCCAAACAGAGAGCCAUUCAGCUAAAAGAAAACUCAUGCAGCUAUAGAAAACAGAUUAAAAUAAAUAAAUAAAUAAAUAAAUAAAUAAAAAUAGAAAUAAAAAACACGUUAAGAGACUGGAAGCCAUUUGUGGCUUUCUCUUUGCCUCAUGUUUUGGGUGGUUCUGUCUAGUUAGCAUAAACAGAAUAUGCUUUCCCUAUGCACAGCAAGUCUACUUCAAGCUCUGAAAAUACUCUCACUGAUUGUCUGGAGAUCAACUGAUGCGCACGGCGGGGGUAAGAGAACCUGAUCUAAUAGAAGGUAAUUUUAGCAAUAGUCUCCAAGAAUUUAUUACAGUAGCAAGCAGCCAUGAAUGGGCCAUGUUUCAUUAGAUCCUGAUAUAACUUUGAAAUAACACUAAAACCAGGAAUACAGAUUCCUAUUGUGUUAAUAAGAAAACAUAAUGCCACUGCUAAACCAAAAGAUAAGGAUCCUUAACUAUCCAAAGGAAGUUAUAGCAUUUUCUGCUCUUAAAUAAGAUUUCCUGUAAAACUUGUUCUAAUACUAUGUUUCCAUGUCAUAGAGAAGUUGACUCAUGACCAAAAAAGACAUUUGCCAUUCAUUUCCCAAAAUAUUCUCAAAUAUUGAUCAGCUAUAGCAUCACCUAAAAGUCUUGAAAUAAUGUAUUUAAUAGUUCUCUCAUUCAUUUAAUACAUUACUUGCUAUAGCUGCUGGCUGAAUAGCACUUUUCAACAGCAUCAUAAGAAAUAUUAUUUCUGCUGUUAUAUGGCAGCUGACAAACUCAGCUACAACAGGCCCAGAAAAAAAUUCUGGCUCCCAAUUUCCUGAAGAGUUGGUUUUUAGCAUUACAUAAAGGAACGAUCUUUUCUCUUAAAUAAUUUGAAUUAAAACCAUUUUUUCAUAAAGAAAUAAACUGUGAAGAUAUUUUAGAAGAAAUCAGUGUUCUUGUGAUAAAGCCACCUUAAAGUCAAAUUGAAUGUUUUUAACCCCUGACUUCAUUACUGAAAUGCAAACAUUUCAAAAUUAUAACUAGAAACUAGAAAUAAACAAAUAACUAGAAAACUUCUAUCUUUUCACUCUCGAAAUAUUUUAUGAAUAGACCACAUUAUAUUGGCAAAGAGCUCUUUUCUAGUAAAGGUCUAUAAAAUAGAGUUGAUUUCAGAAUUUGUUUUUAAAUUCAGCAGUUUUAUUAUUAAUGCCCAAUAAAGGCGCUGCAUGAAAUGAAACGCAAUUCAUGUGAUACAGCACACACAUAUCACAGAGCCAUCUCUCUUGGGUAAAAUGCUUAUUAAAGCUCAUGUCUUAAAGCAACCUAACAGACCUGUCUUUUUCCAGCUGCUUUAAGGAGUUACAUGGAGUUUUAUUUAUCCACUUAUUUAUUUUUGGUAGUGAUACACGCUAAUAGGUUUUAGGGUUACUUUACUGUAAUAUUUUGUUUUUUCUUUAUACUCCCUGCUUGUUAAAUUGUAACAACUUGGAGCAAAUUUUUCUCAUUUUCACACUUUUUCUGCCUGUAAAGUGUUACCUCUGAGAGCUUCUUUUAGAAAGUGUCAGACAGUUGUGCUUGGUGAGAGAGGCUCAUGUAUUAUACUUUGUUCUUUAUAAAUCUUUAACUUUGUUGAUGAUCAUGGGUUUCAGUGGAUGUUGACUAACACUGUUAUGGACUCAUAUAACUCCACUCUCUAAAAGAAGCUUUCUUUUCCUGAGUACUUCUUAUAGUACGGAACUAGCAGUAGGUAACUUAUAGCAGUUACAGCAAGAGGCUUUAUGACAGAGUAUUAACAAAGCCAGAUCUCUAUGUGGCCAAUUAUUUAAUUUCAUUGGUCCAUAAUUUCUUCAUCUUUAAAUUGUAAAUUAUAUUAUAUAUAUAUUUUUUCAGUGUGCAUUACAUGGUACUAUUAUAACUAAUGAAUUGUAUAAAUUUGUUUUUUCAAAACACUGAACAGAGAAAGAAUGUUGUUAUUUACUAUGUUACCUUUCCAAACAUGUGUUGACACCAAAAUCACCUGGGAUCCUGGUUAAAAAUCCAGAGUUCUGAGUUCUAUUCCAGGGAUUCUGAUUCCAAAUGUCUGUAGUGGGUCCAGGAAUCUACAUUCCUCACAAGUGCUCAAUAUAAUCCCUGAGUAUGAUCUAAGGUCUAUAAUUUUUAAAAAAGAGAAUACUGCUUUCAAGAUAUUAGCUUAUAUAAUAGCUGUUAGUUUAAAUAUUUGGCGUCAUUUGUAACUGCAUUGGUUUAAACUUCUCUAAGUAGUAUAAAAAGUGACCAAAUAUUUUUUCCUAGUAACUUAUAGAUUAUUUUCCACUCUCAAAAACCCUAGUUUUUAACUUUUUUGUGUGUAUAAUAGACUCUUUGUAGAAUUUAAUGAAAGCUUUGGAUUCAUGCCCAUGCAGGCAUGACCUUUAUUUUUUACAAAAGCUUUAUAUUAUUUCUACAAAAGCUUCCUGGGUCCCAUUCAUAUAGUGCCUGAGAGGAAUGGCUCUCAAGUCAAAAGCACUUAGGCUAAAGAAUUAGGCAUUAGCUAAUUGGAAUUUAGAGAAUGGUUUCUGUACCUUUAGAAUUUAUAGGUCUAAAACAUGUUUAUUGUAUAAUGGAAACAUAUGGCCUUUAUAUAUUUAUUAUAAUACUUCUUAAGUAGCCAUGAUUGCUUAUUCCGUAGGAGAACUGGAAAGAAUAGUUCUUCACAAAAUUGAAUUGGAGAAUUCUAAUAAGGAGGCUGUUUAUCCUGUGAAAAUAAUACAAGUUUUUACUUUUGAUAACAAGUUAUUUGGUAAACACAUAAAAGAAAACUUGAAAUGCCACAAUUCUACCACAAGUUUUGGCAGAAAAGAUAACGUAUCAUCCAGCAAAUUUCGCCUUUCUUAACACAGCUAAGCCCUGGGAGAAAAAAAAAAAAGUAAAAACAAUACACAUUUUCUUUUUGCUUGCAUUAUCUCUAGGAUUAAAAUACUUCAGUGGUCCAAUACUCCUCAGAAAAUGAGUAAAACCCUUCCCUUGUCCUGGAAGAUUUGGCAUCAUUUAACCUUACUUUCCAGCCUCAUUCCACACAUGCUUCCCCUACCCUCUCCUCUCCUGUUACCUUGCCUCUGUCAUUUCUCCUAUAAGCCAUGCUCCUAUAGCCAGGGCCUUUGCAUGUGCUCUUGCUCUGCUUGGAAUGCUCUUCUCUACCCUUUUUACUUAGGUAAUUAUUGCUUAUCCAUAGAUCACAGCUAAAAUAUCCUCCUUGACAAGGUCAGUUCCCCAAUGUCUUCUUUAUAGCUCUUGCCAUGGUUCUAAUUUUGUGUUUAUUUAUAUGAUUAUUUAAUAAAAGCUUAUUCCCAAUUAAACUGUGAACCUCAUGAGGACAUGAACCAUAAUUAUUUUUGUUUAUUCAGAUCAUAAACACUUAGUGCUCCAUAAGUAUGUAUUACGCAUAUGAAAGAAUGAGUAGAAAAGUACAUGAAUGUAUGUGUUGUACCAACCCAGCAUCUAAAAUAAUAAGAAAUACAAUAACUAUGUAAGUCUAGGAAUACCACUUUGGGACACAAUCUCACAUGUAUUAAAGGAGGAUACUGGACUAAAUAACCACAGGGUUUCCUUUCAGUUUAAAAAAGAAUCAAUGACUCAGCAACUUAAAUGUCCGUCAACUGAUUAAUGAACUAAUAAAAUCUGGCAUAUCCAUUCAAUGGAAUAUUAUUCUUCCAUAAAAAGCAGUGAAUGAUGCAUGAACACUGAAAAUACGAUGCUAAGUGAAAGAAGCCUUCUACAAAAGACCACCUAUUGUAUUACUUAUAUGAAAUGUCCAGGAAAAGGGACAGAUCCAUAGAGAGUAGAUUAGAGGUUGUCUAGGAUAGAGGUGAGGCAGAAAUUGAGUGACUGCUGAUGGGUUUCCAUUGGGGGUGAUAAAAACCUUCUAAAAUUAGAUAAUGGAUAUGCUUGCAUAACUCUGUUAAUACACUAAAAAUCACUGAACUAUUUAAUUUAAAGGGGUGAAUUUUUAUAUGUGAAUUAUAUCUCACUCAAUAUAGCUAUUAUUUUCAAACAAAAUUAAUGACCCAAUGACAUAUGUUAAUUCAUGAUUUUGAUAGAAAAAUCAAAAAUUAAUUUAGUAAAUAUUAAUUUUUUGAAAUUUAAGAUUUUUUUCAGAGUUUUAAGCCUGAGCAAUGGGAAAAUGUAUAUUCAGAAUGAAUAUACAUUUGUUACUAUAUAUUAGGCAUUAAAUUAUACCUCAUCUACUUAGAUCUUAUUUAAAAAUACAUGAAACACCCUUCCUGAUUUCAAGAAGCUUAUAUAUAAUCAAAUCUGGGAUGGUAAUUAACACAAAGUAUAGGGUGAGAGCACAGAAGAAAAAGUAUGUGUCAGGGACUAUGUGAAUCAGAGAAUAUAUUACAUUCAAUUUUAAUUAUUCUGGAGAGCAUGGUAUUUAAGAUGAGCUUUGUAAAGUUACACAUAAUUUGGGCAAGCAGGGGAUGAGGGGCAAAGAUGAAACUGAAGAAAGAGCAGAAGCAAAGGGGCAAU